CUCUUGCUUUCCAUUCUGCUGCCUUGAUCUGGCUGGGUACUGGAAUUGUCUGACUAGGUGACCCUCAUCCUGACCACUGUCCUCUCCAGAGCCAAAGAACAUGCAAGUCCUUGGAGGUCCACGGCAUCCCUGGUCAUCCAGCCCCUCUCCUACUCCUAGGGACACUGAGAAGGAGCAACUCCAAUCCUGCCUUUCAACUAAACUCCCAUUGGCCCAAAGGGGCUUCCCUCAGAAGACUGUAUAGUAAGGGCGUGAGGGUCGCCUCUGGAUGCUGCGGGCACCAAUGGAAUCAAGUAGAAAGAAAUGAAAUGGUGCUAAAUGUGGGUAAGGGCGAUUUACGAGGCCUGUCACACAGUCCUCCCGGGCCAUCCAAGCAAGAUCCUCCCCUUUCUUCGGGCGACUGGAGAAAGUCCCGCCCCGCCCCCCUGCCCACAGCUCAGGGUGGUCGAAAACCCGCUCUCGGAUCCUGGAGCACUGCAGACCGGCACCCCCUUGCACCCUGUUACGGCUGUCCCAGGGGGGGGGGCAGGACUAAAACCCAGAGAAGGACGUUCGCGCCCUGCCUAGGGAUACUGGGGUGACGGGAGGUUCCGGAAGGAUGCUCAGGGGUUUUGGAUGGGAUUCUGGCAGGGUUCAAAACUACCCCGUACAGUCAGAGGUCUUUGGACUGCAGUAUCUCCAGGCCCACUCCAAAUACUGGGUGGCUCUAGGGGAGGUGUCAAACCCCGGGAACCGAGAAGCUCCCAAACUGUAAACCUAAAGUGGGAAAGCGAGCAGAUCCCCACUUCUAGCUACUGGGCUGAAAGCAGGAGCCCGCUCAGCCUCUACUGCCAGUGCGGACAACACAAACAUUCUUCCGUCCUCUAUUCUCCUCCAAAUUAGGUAUCCAUGGAGACAGGGCCGGCAGCCUGACAGCCCCACGGCCUAAUCCUGAUUUAGUGACCGUCCCUUUAACAGCCCACCCACCCGCCCACCCACCCCUGCACUCCGGGCCUCAGCGGGGCGCAGGCUCCAGGCUGCUCUCGCUCUCCCCGGCGUUUAACGUUCACAGGCCCUCCGCCAGCGGGAACCACUAGACCGGAGAGGUCCGGGAGGAAGCCAACAUAUAUUAAGCUCUUACUGUGUGCCCAACAAUCUACAGAGGACCCUCUAACAAGAGUCUGGAAGUGGGAAUCUCUGCAUAGACCAUAAGGCUCUAGGAGUAGGGAAGUUUAAGGGGUUUUCGCAAGAGCUGGGAACUCCGAGGGGCUCCGGGUAACCAAUGGUCCACUGGUGAAAGUAAGCGCAGUUUCGUGCAAUACCCCAACUCUGAGCUGGGACUACUGUCCCAGCCUGAGGAGAAACGAAGGGCGUGUGCGUUAGGGGCGCAGGGACCGAAAUGGCCUCAGUCUCCUGUCACUGCCCCGUCACGAUGCUGGGGAAUCUCCAGGCCAGUAACCCAGCCCCCACCCCCUCCCGCACACACAGGGGCCGCUGGACAAAGACCUGACGGAGUGGGAGGGGCCUGCGGGCCGGCCCUCGGGCUCAGGCCGCCGGACCCUUCUGGGACCCGAACCCGCAAAUCCUAGCUCCCUCUCCCCAAGCCCACAGACUCCCCAGAGUCCGCCGCUCGCUAACACCACCUCCUCAGCUCCAGAGUGGGCGGUAAAGCGGGUUCCCGUCGGCGACCGAGGGGCGAUCUCAACUGGUCGCCCCCCUUCCUCCGGGGAAAUGACCCUGGGCUCCCACGCACCCUCUCAGGUCUCUCCCGGCCUUGCCCUCCGACCUCCGCCUAGUUGGAGCCCCGGCCCCUCAGCCCCCGCCCUCCCUGGGCCUCGCACGGCCCCGCGCCCGCGGACAAAGCUCUGGACAUCGGACCGCACAGUCGCCACCCCCUGACCCCCGGCCGGCCCGCGCGCUCCCGCGCCUACCCCCUCCCUGGCCUGCGACGCGUACCUCGGCAUCCCGGCCGGGUCCUAGGUCGUACUUCGAGGCUCUGCCGCCACCCUUUCUGGGACUUCCUUUCCUUCCGGGUGGUAGUUCAGCAAGAGCAUCCGUAGGACAGGACUCACGCUGGAGGGGCUUCCUCUAACCUGCAGAACAGGCCUCUGACCUCCAAGUCUGGCAGAAUUCUAAAGACUCUUCACUUGUGAUUAUGUUUCCGGAUCCCACAGACCCAGACAGCUCUGUAGAUUGGCAGGGAAGAGGAAGGCACAGGCCGCCAAUCAUCCUUUUUGUCUUUUCUUUUUCAUAGUCUAAAUAUGGAAAUAAGACCAGCAAUAAAGUUCUGAAAUUCAUCAAGGGGGCGGGGAGACUUCUGGCCCCAGAAUUUUCCUGUUUAUAAACCACCUUCCCGUUCUUACACACCCACACACCCUGACACAAAUCAGGGAUGCGCCAAGACUCAGGAGUGCUGGGCCAGACCCCCAGGAUUGUAUUCAUAGAGGGUGCAAACAGCUACAGUUGCCAUCUUAGCAGAGCAGAGACAAAACAAGAAACUUGUGACAAAACAAGAAACUGAUUAAAUGUGGUCUUUCUUCACUGUUAUGACAUCCGAGGCCAGAGAGAAGAGACUUAAUUGGGAGCACUGAGAAAAGCCUGACCUAGAGCCCCUGCACCCCUUUUCUCUGUACUCCCAGUCCUUGCCGGCUCCCUUGAAGGCCAAGUCCACUGGAGCCGAGCAGAGACACCCCUGUCAUCCGGAAUUGUGCCAGGAUGCCAAGGCUGGCUAGCCUUGCUGAUGGGUGGCCCUAGGACCUGACUGUACCGAGUUCUAAGAUGAGGUGGUGCCUUCUGAGGCAUCCAGCUUGAAGGAAUGUUAGUGUCUGCCUAGAGACAAAAGCCUUCCAGGGCCAGGAUGAGAGGAGAGCUUGCUCAUGCCUCAUCGGGGAUGCUCAGCGUGCCGCUGAAGCCUUCCUGAGGCGCCACAGGCCAGCCCAGUAUCAGGUGGUCCUGAUUCUCAGGUGGCUGUGGGUCACAGUAAGGGCUCUGGUUAGCAGGUGAGGGGAGCCUAGUCGCUUCCCUCCUUCACUUACCCCCUGUCCAGCGCCCAGGCAAUGAAGUAUCACUUUCCUUCCCUGAGCUAAUUAUGGUCCUGUUAAUACAUCACCUUGAAGCUGACACACACUCAGUCUUGGCAAAUGGCCUUUCAUCAUAUCUCCAUUCUUGGCCUUUCUGGGGGGCUAAUCUCUGAGGGCUCCUGCUUGACCCCUCUCCUAUCUGCCCUCAGGCAAGGGAUCUGUGCCCCGAAAGGCCCCUGCUGAGGUCACCGGGAGCCUCCCAGGGCAGGUCAAGUGCCCACAAUGGAUUGGAUAAUAAUAGUGGUAAAGAUGGCUAAUGCAUCGCUCUUCCAACCCGCCACCCUUUGCAGCCACUUGGUUUCCAUCACUAACUGCAUGGAGUACUGCCACCCACCCCAGGAGAAGGGGCUCCCCUUGUCCCACAGAACUCAGUCGCAUCCACGCUAUUUGAAUACUUCCAAAUCUGAGCCGAGAAUCUCAUUUCCCUACUCCUAUUCAACCUUCAGAACCCAACUCAGCUGAGCUUGUGGGAUCCUGCGAUUGGUUUUUCCCGAGUGGCCACAAUCGGCAGAUCAGGGAAUGACCCAGAUUGGGUCUAGCCCCAGCCACCCGCCGCCUCCCCCACAGGACGCCAGCGAGGCCUACCCUCUGGAGAUGCUAUGCAGAUGAAAUGCAAAGCAGGCCGAGAUGUCUGUGGGGAUUGGCUGGUACCGAAGACCUUGUGGCCCAAUCCUGGGCCGUUGAAGGCCUGAGCUUCCCUACCCAACCACCCCCAGCCCCGGCCUUGUCUGGCCGAUAAAUCAGCUCAGUCAUCGUUAAUGGCUCCUGACUAAUUGCCUGGACUUGGGCUCCAGGGCUCGGGUCGCCCACAUUAAAAUUCAAUCAGGCCCAGCACUAGCUAUUAAAUAUUCAUUGGGAGAGCUUCCCGAAACCAGGCUCGGGGGGGAUGGGUUGGAUGAAGAGGGACUACCUGGAGCUGCAGCCUACUUCUAGGGCAGAUGCGCCCACACUGGUUUACCUGCCUGCAACUGCAGCCUGGUUUCCAGUCUGUUCCAGCCGGCAGAUUCCUCUCCGGAAGCCUCAGAGCCAUCUCUGAAGGACUCUGAGACCAAGACGCCUUACGGGAGUGUAGAGAUAAGUCAAGCAGGCCCCCAGAACCUGCUCUGUGGUCUUUGCGUGCGUGCUUGGUCACCUCGCCUCAGGGAGACCCCCUCUCCAAACUAUGAAGAGUGCUGGGACCUUGGGUUCCUUCAGUUCCAUCUAGGAAUGAACUAGCUCCAGAUACAGACGCUUGUCCAGGGACUAGAGAGAUGGCUGGGUGGUUAAGAGCAAAUACUGACCGCUCUUGCAGAAGACCUUAAAUUUGGUUCCCAAUACCCUAGUGGGUUGGGUCACACAGUUACCUGUACUCCAGUUCCAGGGGAUGGAUGAUAA